rnacentral:rRNA from 1 species
AUUUGCAGAGGAUGCUUCGGGUUCGGCUCCGGUCUAAGUUCCUUGGAACAGGACGUCAUAGAGGGUGAGAAUCCCGUAUGUGACUGGACACCACGCCCGUGUGAAGCUCCUUCGACGAGUCGAGUUGUUUGGGAAUGCAGCUCAAAAUGGGUGGUAAAUUUCAUCUAAAGCUAAAUAUUGGCCAGAGACCGAUAGCGCACAAGUAGAGUGAUCGAAAGAUGAAAAGCACUUUGGAAAGAGAGUCAAACAGUACGUGAAAUUGUUGAAAGGGAAGCGCUUGCAACCAGACUUGCCCGCGGGUGAUCAGCCGGUAUUUUUACCGGUGCACUCGCCCGUGGUCAGGCCAGCAUCGGUUUGGGUGGCUGGAUAAAGUCCACUGGAAUGUAGCUCCUCUCGGGGAGUGUUAUAGCCGGAGGUGCCAUGCAGCCCGCCCGGACCGAGGACCGCGCUUCGGCUAGGAUGCUGGCGUAAUGGUUGUAAGCGACCCGUCUUGAAACACGGACCAAGGAGUCUAACAUCUAUGCGAGUGUUUGGGUGUCAAACCCAUGCGCGUAAUGAAAGUGAACGGAGGUGGGAACCCUCAAGGGUGCACCAUCGACCGAUCCUGAUGUCUUCGGAUGGAUUUGAGUAAGAGCAUAGCUGUUGGGACCCGAAAGAUGGUGAACUAUGCCUGAAUAGGGUGAAGCCAGAGGAAACUCUGGUGGAGGCUCGCA